ACCUGCGCAGAAUUCUUGCUGCUAACGAACGCUCUGACUUUAUUGCACUACUGUACUUCCCAGCUAGCAGUGCAAUAGUAUUGUCAAAGCAUCCGAAAGCAGAAACCCAGCCAUGGUCGC
rnacentral:pre_miRNA from 10 species